rnacentral:rRNA from 1 species
AACGAACGUUAGCGGCGCGCCUAACACAUGCAAGUCGCACGAGAAAGGGCUUCGGCCCCGGUAAAGUGGCGCACGGGUGAGUAACACGUGGGUAAUCUUCCCUCGAGCGGGGGAUAACAUUCCGAAAGGAGUGCUAAUACCGCAUAAGACCACGACCUCGAAAGAGGUUGAGGUCAAAGCCGGCCUCUAUACAUAAGCUGGCACUUGAGGACGAGCCCGCGGCCCAUCAGCUAGUUGGCAGGGUAAUGGCCUACCAAGGCGAAGACGGGUAGCUGGUCUGAGAGGAUGAUCAGCCACACUGGAACUGAGACACGGUCCAGACUCCUACGGGAGGCAGCAGUGGGGAAUCUUGCGCAAUGGGCGAAAGCCUGACGCAGCGACGCCGCGUGAGUGAUGAAGGCCUUCGGGUUGUAAAGCUCUGUGGGGAGAGACGAAUAAGUGUUGGCUAAUAUCCAGCAUGAUGACGGUAUCUCCUUAGCAAGCACCGGCUAACUCUGUGCCAGCCGCCGCGGUAAAAC